GGCAUCUGUAAUUUCUUUACCUUGGGAGUGGGAGGAGUGAGAUCUCAAGUUUUUCAGAAGCUGAAGCAUGGUAAACCUCAUUAGCUGCCACAAAAAUGCUAUUAUGAGCUUCUUAUUUCCUUGAACAAUGUCAUUCCCAGCAACAUUUACAAGGGAGAAAUGCAAUUCCUUCCCUAUCUGUACAACUUGGUUGCAAUUCUCAACUUUUCUAAAUGGCAUCUUUAUAGGAGGUUUAGUUGUCUGCUUCCAAUUAACUGAUCCAGGUGAAAC
rnacentral:misc_RNA from 1 species